ensembl:snoRNA
AAUCUUUUGGACUUACCACACACAGGCUUGUUCUUACACUGACUGUAUAGAAAGAAGAGGCCUAAACCACAUACACCUCAGCCCAGGCCCUGUGCCUGGUCUGUAUUGUCAAAAGGGAAAUAUGG